rnacentral:misc_RNA from 1 species
CCAAAGAUGGCGGGCUUCGGCCCCCGUCCCCAACCCUUUGUUGACUUAAAAUCCUUUUGCCUCGGGGGCAGAGCGUCCGCCGCCGCCCCCGGAGGACCACUAAACACUGUCUCUGUACGUCGGAGUAUUGAUUAAAUGAAUGA